rnacentral:rRNA from 1 species
UACGUAGGGACCGAGCGUUGUCCGGAUUCAUUGGGCGUAAAGAGCUCGUAGGCGGCCACUCAAGUCGAAUGUGAAAACUUGAGGCUCAACCUCGAGACGCCGAUGGAAACCGUCUGGCUAGAGUCCGGAAGAGGAGAGUGGAAUUCCUGGUGUAGCGGUGAAAUGCGCAGAUAUCAGGAAGAACACCCGUGGCUAAGGCGGCUCUCUAGUACGGUACUGACGCUGAGACGCGAAAGCGUGGGGAGCGAACAGG